CCAGGUCCAGUGGACAGACUUCAGACGUCUCUGUGUGUCCGUCCUGUCUCUGGUUGCCAGGUUACAGACGCUGCUGCACCCGCACGUUUAAAAAUGUCUACACCUGAAGCUCCACCACGUCUAAAGAAGCAAAAACGUUUGCAAAUGUACAGACUGGAGUGGGAAGAGUGGAACCCCUGGCAAUGGGUAAAAGGCAAACUGUGUUUUCUGUUGCUCAUGGACUGGCUGAAGUAAGGCAGCAUCAGGAGACAAACAUGGAGGAAAUAUGAGAACAGAGAGAACCCAACCAGCAGGUCACAGUUUAUCAUCAUCUAAUCAUCUCCUGAAGUCGAUAUGGUCCCUCUCUAUCUCCCCACACAUCCACCAACCACUGGAACACAUCUCCAAAGUUCUGCUGGGCCAGCUCAGCUUCCCCUCAGAAGAAGUGCCGCCACCUGCCAGAUGAAGGAGCCUUUUGAGAGGCAGCUGGCAUCGUGAUUGGACUGUACUUUGGUCUGUUCCAGUCCAGCUUCAGCUCCAGAGACGGCAGGCGGGACGAGUCAACGGAGGCCGGGUGGACGAAGGCAUGCAGCUGAGUACAAUCCAGAAAACAGAGGAGUGCAGCAGCCCAGAGCCAGAACAACCAGAGUAGCAUCGUAUGUCUCUUAGAAAACAUCAUAGUAGAGCCUUUGGUAUGAAAAAACACCAUCAUAUACAUCGUAUAUUGUACAAAUAACAAGUCAAAGCAAAGAGACAUACAUUGUAGAAUUGUAGUAAUUGUGGGCUGACUGAUUUACUGAUUAUCAGUAUUUUGUUUUUUACCGAUUUACGGUAAUAAAUACAUUUAAAAAUGG